CGUAAUAGCUCACUGGUCUAGUGAUUUUGCGCGGAAAAUAUAACGGGGCUAAAAUGAGUACCGAAGCUGUAGGCUUGGCUUUGCCAAGCGGUAGGAGAGCGUUCUAUUUGCGUUGAAGCUAUAUCGGCAAGAAGUGGUGGAGCGAAUAGAAGUGAGCAUGCAGGCAUGAGUAGCGAUAAAAGGGGUGAGAAUCCCCUUCGCCGAAAACCCAAGGUUUCCUACGCGAUGCUCGUCAUCGUAGGGUUAGUCGGGUCCUAAGCAAAGUCCGAAAGGGGUAUGCGAUGGAAAAUAGGUUAAUAUUCCUAUACCAACAUUGAUGUGCGAUGGAAGGACGCUUAGAGCUAGGGGGGCUAGCGGAUGGUAGUGCUAGUCUAAGGUUGUAGGUGCUUACACAGGCAAAUCCGUGUAAGAACACACCGAGAGCUGAAAGGCUUUUUGAAGUCUUCGGAUGGAUAGAAGAACCCCUGAUGCUGUCGAGCCAAGAAAAGUUUCUAAGUUUAGUCAAUGUUGCCCGUACCGUAAACCGACACAGGUGGGUGGGAUGAGUAUUCUAAGGCGCGUGGAAGAACUCUCUUUAAGGAACUCUGCAAAAUAGCACCGUAUCUUCGGUAUAAGGUGUGGUUCGCUUUGUAUUAGGCUUUACGCCGAAAGCAAAGAAACUUACAACAAAGAGUCCCUCCCGACUGUUUACCAAAAACACAGCACUCUGCUAACUCGUAAGAGGAUGUAUAGGGUGUGACGCCUGCCCGGUGCUCGAAGGUUAAUUGAUGGGGUUAGCAUUAGCGAAGCUCUUGAUCGAAGCCCCAGUAAACGGCGGCCGUAACUAUAACGGUCCUAAGGUAGCGAAAUUCCUUGUCGGUUAAAUACCGACCUGCAUGAAUGGCGUAACGAGAUGGGAGCUGUCUCAAAGAGGGAUCCAGUGAAAUUGUAGUGGAGGUGAAAAUUCCUCCUACCCGCGGCAAGACGGAAAGACCCCGUGGACCUUUACUACAGCUUGACACUGCUGCUUGGAUAAGAAUGUGCAGGAUAGGUGGGAGGCUUUGAGUAUAUGGCGCUAGCUGUAUAUGAGCCAUCGUUGAGAUACCACUCUUUCUUAUUUGGGUAGCUAACUAGCUUGCGUUAUCCGCAAGUAGGACAAUGUCUGGUGGGUAGUUUGACUGGGGCGGUCGCCUCCCAAAUAAUAACGGAGGCUUACAAAGGUUGGCUCAUUGCGGUUGGAAAUCGCAAGUAGAGUAUAAAGGUAUAAGCCAGCUUAACUGCAAGACGGACAAGUCGAGCAGAGACGAAAGUCGGUCUUAGUGAUCCGGUGGUUCUGUGUGGAAGGGCCAUCGCUCAAAGGAUAAAAGGUACCCCGGGGAUAACAGGCUGAUCUCCCCCAAGAGCUCACAUCGACGGGGAGGUUUGGCACCUCGAUGUCGGCUCAUCGCAUCCUGGGGCUGGAGCAGGUCCCAAGGGUUUGGCUGUUCGCCAAUUAAAGCGGUACGCGAGCUGGGUUCAGAACGUCGUGAGACAGUUCGGUCCCUAUCUGCCGUGGGCGCAAGAAGAUUGAAGAGAUUUGACCCUAGUACGAGAGGACCGGGUUGAACAAACCACUGGUGUAGCUGUUGUCCUGCCAAGGGCAUCGCAGCGUAGCUAAGUUUGGAAAGGAUAAACGCUGAAAGCAUCUAAGCGUGAAGCCAACUCUAAGAUGAAUCUUCUCUAAGCUCUGUGCUAGACUAGCACUUUGAUAGGCUGGGUGUGUAAGUGGUGAAAGCCAUUUAGCUGACCAGCACUAAUAGAGCGUUUGGCUUAUUUUA
rnacentral:rRNA from 1 species